UACGUAGGGUGCGAGCGUUGUCCGGAAUUACUGGGCGUAAAGAGCUCGUAGGUGGUUUGUCGCGUUGUUCGUGAAAACCGGGGGCUUAACCCUCGGCGUGCGGGCGAUACGGGCAGACUUGAGUACUGCAGGGGAGACUGGAAUUCCUGGUGUAGCGGUGGAAUGCGCAGAUAGUCAGGAGGAACACCGGAGGCGAAGGCGGGUUGCUGGGCCGACACUGACGCUGAGGCGCGAAAGCUAGGGGAGCAAACGGG
rnacentral:rRNA from 1 species